AUAUUACAGGUACUACGCCCACGGCAGCAAGUGAUUAUCUUUUCAUCGCGGUACUGCUUCAUAGAUAGCCAGCAAUCAAUCAUUUAGGAUUUGAGAGGGGUUAAUGUUUAAAAAAAAUUCGGGAAUGAAGAGAGCUAUCCGUCGACAGUAUAUAUUUUACACUGUCAUGGAGUUGCUCUCUUUAUAAACGAAUUUGAUAUCAACAGAUCGAAUUUUAUACAAGGAAAAUGAAUCAUAAAAAAAUUUAUGCAGAAGUUUGAAUUCAAAUAACGGAAAAACUAUCAAUUUUUCGUAAAAAACUGUAAUAAACAUUUUUAAAGUACUUUUUCAGACCUUUAAAAUGAGCUUUCACAAAACCGUUUAGCAUGAAAAUUAAGCGAGUUAUGACGAAAAUUAAAAAAA